GCGUCUUUCAGCGGCGGAGCGCGCCAGGCAGAGCCGGAUCAUGUACAUGAGUAGGCCUGGGAUGCGCAGCAGGUCCAUGGCGUUACCGAUAAAGGCUGAGGCAAUGACGUAGUUCACGAAGAAAGCGCCGUUGUCGGGCAGGAACACACACCUAAGGGCAGCAGGUGCUCCAGCACUGCACCCUUGGGGUGACCUGGUGGCUGUCUGCCCACUGCUAGCAUGACAGCACCCCAUGCUCUGACCCUCUGUGACCUCCUCUACAUGUACACACCCAGCUUAGACGCCCCCCCCCCCCACAUACCCGUGCCCUAGUCUUUCCACAGUAUGAACCCCAGAAUAUCAAAAUAACAAAGCCAGCCCAGAGACCUACCUAGAUGGCAUGCCCUGAAAAAACGAGUUCAAGGCCACAAAAGGCCACCAGCAUGUGCAGCAAAUAAUUGCUGAGAGCUGAGACUUCCACAGAAAAUUUCAAUGGCACUCUCAAGAGAUCUCCAGGGAUGUAAGCCCCAACAAACUGGGCUUGGUGACGUUGAACUUGUCCAUGGUGGUGAUGAUGAUGGCCGGGGUGGUGAGGAAGAAGAGCAGAAUGAAGAGGACCACAUUGAUGACCAGGCAGCGCAGCCACCAGAUGAAGCCUCGGAUGGAGAGGUGUUCCCUGGGAAAGUGGGGGAGGGGUCACUUUGA
rnacentral:lncRNA from 1 species